ACGGGGGGGGCAAGCGUUGUUCGGAAUUACUGGGCGUAAAGGGCUCGUAGGCGGCCAACUAAGUCGGACGUGAAAUCCCUCGGCUUAACCGGGGAAUGGCGUCCGAUACUGGAUGGCUCGAGUGUGGGAGAGGGAUGCGGAAUUCCAGGUGUAGCGGUGAAAUGCGUAGAUAUCUGGAGGAACACCGGUGGCGAAGGCGGCAUCCUGGACCACGACUGACGCUGAGUGAGCGAAAGCCAGGGGAGCAAACGGGA
rnacentral:rRNA from 1 species